UAGGGAAUCUUCGGCAAUGGACGAAAGUCUGACCGAGCAACGCCGCGUGAGUGAAGAAGGGUUUCGGAUCGUAAAACUCUGUUGUUAGAGAAGAACAAGGACGUUAGUAACUGAACGUCCCCUGACGGUAUCUAACCAGAAAGCCACGGCUAACUACGUGCCAGCAGCCGCGGUAAUACGUAGGUGGCAAGCGUUGUCCGGAUUUAUUGGGCGUAAAGCGAGCGCAGGCGGUUUCUUAAGUCUGAUGUGAAAGCCCCCGGCUCAACCGGGGAGGGUCAUUGGAAACUGGGAGACUUGAGUGCAGAAGAGGAGAGUGGAAUUCCAGGUGUAGCGGUGAAAUGCGUAGAUAUAGGGAGAAACACCGGUGGCGAAGGCGGCUCUCUGGUCUGUAACUGACGCUGAGGCUCGAAAGCGUGGGGAGCAAACAGG
rnacentral:rRNA from 1 species